rnacentral:rRNA from 1 species
AUUGAACGCUGGCGGCAGGCCUAACACAUGCACGUCGAACGAGUGGCGGACGGGUGAGUAAUGUCUGGGAAACUGCCCGAUGGAGGGGGAUAACUACUGGAAACGGUAGCUAAUACCGCAUACCCUCGGAUGUGACCAGAUGGGAUUAGCUAGUAGGUGGGGUAACGGCUCACCUAGGCGACGAGACCUAGCUGGUCUGUGAGGAUGACCAGCCACACUGGAACUGAGACACGGUCCAGAUUCCGACGGGAGGCAGCCGUGGGGAAUAUUGCACACUGGGAGCAAGCCUGAUGCAGCCAUGCCGCGUGGAGGAAGAAGGCCUUCGGGUUGUAAAGUACUUUCAGCGAGGAGGCGUUACUCGCAGAAGAAUCACCGGCUAACUCCGUGCCAGCAGCCGCGGUAAUUC